CACGGCAGGAAUAUUUUAUCAGAUUAUUUUACGAUAAUCGGAGCAUCCUAAGAUUGUCGGAAGGGGUGAAUCGGGGCUAAAAUCGGCCUAAUUAUCCUGCCGUGUGAACCAGCCUUAAUCAAGUUGUUCAGGAUCACUACAAACCUCCAGGCAGGUGUGUUGAAUCAGGUUGGAGUUAAACCAACCAUCUAACCCUCCAGGAGCGGAAUUAGGCUGCUUUCACACUGGGCUUGUUUGCUGCGGUCCUAGCCCGAGCGCGAUUGUUUCCGGCGACCCCCGCAGCUUAUUACGUCAUCACAAACGUGCAUGACGCAUGAUAGAAAACAGAACGUGGGUCAAUAUAUAUAUAUAUAUUUUUUUUAAUAUGAUAUUACUAUCAUCCCUUACAUGUAUUAUAUGUAACUAAAUGCAUCAUAAUAAGCUUUAAACGCAUGCGCAGGUCACAUUACUUCCUGAACAAGUGCGCACCCGAGUCCGUGUUGCCUUCACAUUCACCCGAACCGCGGCACGGUUCGAGUGCAACCGAACAAAGACCACUUCCUCCAGGUAGCCAAGACUACCCUGCUGAAAAAAACAAUAGAAACCAUUACAGAAUUUGUAAUGGUUUUAAUGGUUCUUAUUGGAAUUCUAAUGGUUUUAAUGGACACUGUAAUGGUCUCUGUGGGUCUCUAUUGGUACUUUGCUUUUUUCUAUUGGUGGCGUGUAUUGUCUAUUGGAUACCAUUAAGGACCAAUAGAACACCUUUAGAAACUUCUGGUAUCUACUGGACACCAGUAGAAACCAUUAUGACUCCAAUAAAUUUAGUGGUUUCUUUGGAAAACUGUAAUGGUCUUAGUGGGUAGGCUACUGCUGAAAAAAAAAAUGAACACACAAACAAUAGAAACUAUUACAAAAUUUGUAAUGGUUUUAAUGGUUAUAAUGGGAAUUAUGUUGGUUGUAAUGGUCACAGUAAUGGUCCCUGUGGGUCUCUAUUGGUAAAUUGCUUUUUUCUAUUGGUGGUAUGUAUUGUCUUGGAUUGCCACCAUACGUCAUUUGGAAAGGUUAUUUUUAAUUCAUUUUUUUUUUUAUUUAUUUAUUUAUUUAUUUUUAAAUCAACUCGACUCGUCAUGGCCUUCAAAAUUGACUUGAAAAGUUGGUCUUUGUUUUGUCUGUCGGAUUUGGUCCAAAUUUAGCCCAAAAAUAGAUGUGAAAUAACAGUGAAAUUCUGCGUGACUUCCACAUGCUGUAAUGUGCGCGCGCGCAGAACUGGAGCGGAGGACGUCACCAUGGAAACGAGGCGGCAGCCCAACCGUCAAGCAGCUGAUCGCUGACACUCAAUGUGGUUUCACUUUUUUUUUUAGAAAUGGUUUAGCGUCGUCAGAAAAAGUCCGUUAGCAUCUCAAAGAAGUGCCAGAAAAAAACCUCUAUGACGCAGGAGAAGUUCCUGAUUUUAACAUUUCUGAAGGGGGCUGCUGACAGAGAGGAUGAAAACAUACACAUUUUGAUGUCCACGCUGUAGGAGCAUUACUAAAUAAUGCUUAUGUUCCUAGGUUCUUCCAUGCUGAUGGCUGUGCUCUAGAGUCAUAUCUCCUGUCGAAGAACAUUUUUAGACAUUAUGAACCAUGAAUAAGUUUAGCUCCAACCCCAGUUAAGCAGACCUGAGCAGCUGAUCAAGGAUCAGCAGAAACUUAGUGUCUGUCUCAGAAGCUGAAGAAAAAAGGCCACACCUUAUAGGAAAUAAACGCCUCCUAAGUGUAUGGAAAUACCUGGCUGAGGAGAUCAGUGACAUAAACCAGAUAAAACUGUCAGUGGUCUGAGACAGCUACAAGCCACAAAAACAGUUCAUAGUUCCUGCAUUUCUAUAAUGCAUUAAUGAAUAACAAUAAUUAAAAUAAAAUGUAAUGUCAAGGUUUUGUGUUAAUUCCAGCUAUGUUGAGUAUUCUGUGAAUAAUUUUGAUUUUAGGUGCAUAUUCUUAAUUCUUUGCAAAACAACCUGAACUGUUUGCUAUUGAAAGGUUGGUAUGAAGUUUAAAUAAAUAAAAACAUUAUAUUCUUGACAAAAC